rnacentral:rRNA from 1 species
CCUACGGUGGGCAGCAGUGAGGAAUAUUGGUCAAUGGGCGGGAGCCUGACCCAGCCACGUCGCGUGAGGGAAGACGGUCCUACGGAUUGUAAACCUCUUUUGCCGGGGAGCAACGGGGUCCUUGCGAGGGCCCGAUGAGAGUACCCGGAGAAAAAGCAUCGGCUAAAUACGUGACAGCAGCCGCGGUAAUACGGAGGAUGCGAGCGUUAUCCGGAUUUAUUGGGGUUAAAGAGUGCGUAGGCGGGCUGGUAAGUCAGCGGUCAAAUGUCGGGGCUCAACCCCGGCCUGCCGUUGAAACUGGCGGCCUCGAGUGGGCGAGAAGUAUGCGGAAUGCGUGGUGUAGCGGUGAAAUGCAGAGAGAUCACGCAGAACUCCGAUUGCGAGGGCAGCAUACCGGCGCCCGACUGACGCUGAGGCACGAAAGCGUGGGUAUCGAACAGGAUUAGAUACCCUUGUAGUC